AGUUGUUCCGAGUGCAGUGGUAUUUACAACAAAUUGAUCGCAACCAGUUAUAGAUUCCUUUGUUCCUUCUCCACUCCCACUGCUUCACUUGACCAGGAAAAA
rnacentral:Y_RNA from 1 species